rnacentral:lncRNA from 1 species
GGUGACUGGGAAGGGCUUCACGGGGGAGGUGUGGUGUGUGGUUUUCAUUCAGUAAAUGUUUGCAGAAUGAAUGGAGUGUGCUAGAGCCGGGGCUUGCAGGAAAGACCACACCACCAGACUGACUCAGGCACGCUGCAGAGCCACAGUGCCCCAAGCCCCAGCUCUGACUCAGCCCGGGAAGUAGCUAUCUCAUCUCGGCUCUCUGAAGAAUGCAAGCUGAAAACCCAAAUCAAGUACAGUUUCAAGUUUGUUUCCCACACUACACUGCUUUCACUCUGGGUGAGUCAAAGUUCUAAAACCAGGUAAACUUCAA